rnacentral:rRNA from 1 species
UACAGAGGGUGCAAGCGUUAAUCGGAAUUACUGGGCGUAAAGGGCGCGUAGGCGGUUUAUUAAGUUAGGUGUGAAAUCCCCGGGCUUAACCUGGGACGUGCAUUUAAUACUGGUGAGCUAGAGUAGAGUAGAGGGAAGUGGAAUUUCCGGUGUAGCGGUGAAAUGCGUAGAUAUCGGAAAGAACACUUGUGGCGAAGGCGACUUCCGGGACUCAUACUGACGCUGAGGCGCGAAAGCGUGGGGAGCAAACAGG